GAAAAUUGCAAAUCAAGUGAAAAAGGACUUGUGCCGCAAGAAGCUACAGUUCUGUUUUCCAAGUAUAUUGCUCCUUUACAUGUUUAAAGCCUGUUUGGUCUAGGAUAGGGCCCCAGCUGUGAUGCCUUCGCUGCUCAGUCCUUGGUAGUGGUGCAUUUCACAUCCUUAAGAGCAGAAGGCCUAUGGAAGCAUCCAAAGAACAACCAAAACACAAAAGGUAGGAAGCAUGCAAGUGAAAUGGUAACAACAACAACUCAGGUGCACAUUUGCCUUUCAGGUCAUUUUGGAUUGGAUCCAAAAAGUGGUCAGCUGAAAACAGCAAUUAAUUUGAACUAUGAGAAAGUUUCUCAGUAUGUAAUUUUUAUUGAAGCAAACGAAAAUCCCUCAUCUGCCACCCAAGUCCAGCGUUCAGGUCUGUUUUCUCAAAAUGUGGCAAUGCUGAAAAUCUCAGUGCAAGAUGUAAAUGAAGAGCCAGCAUUUUCGAAUAGCGUCUACUCAGUUCGGAUACUGAACUCUGUGCCGUACAAGUACCCAGUUAUUACUGUUCAGGCCACAGAUCCAGACUCAGGAGAGAACGGCCUUCUGCUGUACAGCUUAGUGCAUCAUGAAACGAAUCAGUUUGACAUCGAUGAAAACACAGGGCAGAUUUUUACAGUUUCUGUAAGAAGAUGGGCUGGAACAGUUUCUCUGCAAGUCCAAGCUGCAGACCAAGGUGGGAGAGGACUUACAGCCCAGACAACUGUCAAUGUAAUCGUUGAUGCCAGUUCCAGUGACAACAUUGUGGUAAUUGUUCUUAAUCAGAUGAUCAAUGCUGUUGAAAGAAAUAUUGCUGAAGUAAAAAGGGUCCUCGAAGAAAUACUUGCAUGGAAUAUAUACAUCAUUGAUUUUUAUUCCAAUGAGUUUGAAAGAAGAGCAAGAGAAAGCACGGAUGUAACCUACUUAAAAAUUAUUGCUGUUGAUGAGGCAGCCCAAGAAAUACCUGCAGAAGACGUAAAAAGAAAACUUACAGAGCAGAAGAUCAUCAUUCAGUCAGAACUGGAAAAAAUAUUUGAAACGUCUGUUACUGCUGACGUAGGAGAGGUUCCUGCUGCCUCGGUGUCCUCUGAACUCAUUGCAACUAUCGUUCUAAGUGUUCUGCUGGGCUGCACCCUUGUAGCCUUCCUGGUAUACGUAUUUAUUACUAUAGAAAGGAGUAAGAAGCAAAAGUGGUUUGUUGGGAAGAAAACUGAAAUUAUUGAGGGUUUUGAUAAUCCAGCUGUAGCUGACAUAAAUGGAAGUCCAAAAAUCAUAGAGAAACCAGAGCACACGAAUAAUGUGAACACUGAAAUAACAACGUUUACCAGCAUGGAAGACACUCAAGGAGGGGAUGCUGAUAAAGAUGUAUUUGAGGCGGAACAAAAAUGCGAUUAUCUUGAGACACUGCUAUUAGAUUUGGAAAGUGAACAUGAAGGAAACGUAGGAGCCCAGCCUGUUGCAGAAAUUACAACAAAACAGAAUGGCUUUUUGACAGAUAAAAAUGAUGAGCCAGCUCGUCCAUUAACACCUGAUCCCAUAAUACACACUCCGGACAAAGAACUGAAAGGCGUGAGAUUUUCAGAAGUGGCAGUUAUUUUGGAUACAGAGACUGAACAAGAUGAGCCUGAUAACGAAGACUUAUUUUUCAACAAUAAUUAAAAGAUGCGUGAUGAAGAAACCUUUUCUUUAUGAAAAAUCACAAUGACACUUAUUAGAACAAUACAGAAUGCAGUGAGUAAUAAAAAUACGGGAAUGCUAUCUAGAUUUUAAUUC
rnacentral:lncRNA from 1 species